AUCUAAUAGUUUAUUUUUAAAAUUUUUAAAUAAAGUAUUUUUUUGUUUUAUUAUUAACAUAGAAAAAAUUAUUUUAAUUAUAGUUUAAAGUAUAGUGAUAGAAAAUUUAAAUAUAUUGAAAAUUUAAAUAUUUUAAAGAAUAAUUUAUUUUUAGUACCUUGUGUAUCAGGGUUUAUUAAAAAUAAAUUAUUUAUUUAAUGUUCUCGAUUUUAAAAGAGUUAAAAAUUUAUUUUUUUUAAUGUUUAAUAAUUAUUGUAAAUAAAUUUUUAGUAAUGAAACGUUAUUCGUUUUUAAAUAUAUCUAGUUUUUUAAGAAAUAAAUUUAAUUUAUUUAUUGAUAAAAAUUAAUUUUAUUUAUAAAUUUAAUUUUAUUAAUAAAAAAUAUUUUUAGGGAUAAGCUUAAAAAUAAAUUUAUAUAAUAUUAUUUAUUUAAAAAUUAAAUGUAGGAUUAAAAAUUUCUUUUAUUAAUAGUUUGUUAUAAUUAAUUUUUUUAUAUUAUUAUUUAUAUAUUAUUUAUGUUUUUUAUUAAAAUAUUUUAUUUAAUUAUUAAAUAAAAGUAAUAAUGAUUAAAUUAGUAUAAUUUAUUUUAUUGAUAUUUAUUUUUAUAAGGUUAAAUUAAGGAAUUCGGCAAAUUAAUUUUUCGCCUGUUUAAUAAAAACAUGUCUUUUUGAUUAUAAUUUAAAGUCUAACCUGCCCAAUGAAAAUUUAAAUGGCCGCGGUAUUUUGACCGUGCAAAGGUAGCAUAAUCAUUAGUUUUUUAAUUGAAAGCUGGUAUGAAUGGUUGAACGAAAAAAUUACUGUCUCAAUUUAAUUUAAUUAGAAUUUUAUUUUUAAGUUAAAAAGCUUAAAUUUAUUUAAAAGACGAGAAGACCCUAUAGAGUUUUAUAUUAAAAUUAAUUUUAAUUUUUAUAAUUUUAUUUAUUAAUUAUUAAUAUUUUAUUGGGGUGAUAGAUAAAUUUGAUAAACUUUAUUUUUUUAUUUACAUAAAUUUAUGAUUUAAUGAUCCAUUAUUAAUGAUUAUAAGAUUAAAUUACCUUAGGGAUAACAGCGUUAUCUUUUUAGAGAGUUCAAAUCGAAAAAAAGGAUUGCGACCUCGAUGUUGGAUUAAAAUUAAUUUUUGGUGUAGAAGCUAAAAAUAUUAAGUCUGUUCGACUUUUAAAAUUUUACAUGAUCUGAGUUUAAACCGGUGUGAGCCAGGUUGGUUUCUAUCUUUAAAAUUUUUAAAUAUUUUAGUACGAAAGGACCAAAUAUUUAUAAAAAUUAUUAUUAUUUGAAUAAUAUU
rnacentral:rRNA from 1 species